UUGCUCUCAGCAUCUUCUCUCUUUCUCUCUCUAAAAGUCUUUGAUUGAAUUAGCUGGCUGUCUUUACAAAAACGCGUAGACUUUUGGACCCACACGUAUUCAUUCCUCUCUCUCUUUCUCUUUCUAUUCUCUCCUCCUUUGCACUAAAUUUGCGCAGGGUUUUUUUAGUUUUUACCCAGGGGUUUUCUCCUCUCUCUCUCUCUCUCCUCCCCACACUGCCACCUCACUCCUCUCUCUUUUCUUACAAUUCAAGUUUCUUUCUUGAUCACUCCCUUGUUUCCUAUAAAAAGAAAAAGAUUUAAUCUUUUUUACUAUCAAUUUUGAUACUUUUUGUUUAGGAGCUUUGUAUUCAUGGCUUAUCAGAUGAGUCCAGGUGGUAGUAGUGGUGGUGGUUCGGGUAAUUCGCCGUUUGUGGGUCGGGGCCCAUAUGGGGUUGGAGGAGAUACAACUUAUACAAAAGUUUUUGUUGGUGGGUUGGCUUGGGAAACUAAGAGUGAAUCACUGCGCCGUUAUUUUGAGCAGUUUGGUGAUAUUAUUGAAGCUGUUGUCAUCACUGAUAAACAUACUGCCCGCUCCAAAGGCUAUGGCUUUGUGACAUUCCAUGAUCCUGAAGCAGCUUGGAGGGCUUGUGCCAAUCCUAAUCCGAUUAUUGAUGGCAGAAGAGCAAAUUGUAAUUUGGCUUCACUUGGACGACCUCAAGGAGUUUUACCUUAUGGACGUUUGAGAUCAUCAAUGCCCUAUCUGGGAAAUCCACAGGCCAUGAGGGGUAUGUAUAUGGGCAACCCCAUUUACCAGCUACCAGUUCCUUACAGCUAUCAGCCUGGAUUCUCAUAUCCUCAAUAUAGGUUUCCUGCAUAUGGGCCAGACUACAUCUAUCCACAAAUGUAUGGGAUACCAAGUACUGUUGGCACGAACUCAUUGCAAUUUGGCCAACUUGGUAUGCAGCCUGGCAGUCCUGCAUACGCAUUUCGUGGUCAUAUGAUGCCAGGUCCUCAGAUGGUGCAAUAUCAGAGACCUAAUACUAACGGAGCUACAACAGACAAUGUUCCUGUCAUGCAACUACCAUAUCAUUCAGUGAAGCUGCUUGAUUACCCCGUUUCUUCAGGCAUCACCAUGUCGUCCCCUCGUCAGUCACAGAUUGCAGCUCGCCCACCACAAUUCACGCAGAGCAGUGGGUCUGACCAAAUGGCAGGUUGAAUUGUUGAAGGAACUGGUGUAUCACGGAUGAAUUCAAGGAUUUGGCUCGCUCUAACUUGUGUGGUAGACUUGGAAUAUGACCUUGAACGUCAGCGGGGAGGCAACAAAGAGGUCUUUCAAAGUCAUGGCCACCAAAUAUUCGAGGGAAUCACUUGUAAGAUAUCAAGCAGUCCAGAUAACCAUAUCAGAAAUGAUGAGGAAGUGCUUGGACUGCUCUUUUCGCAGUCUCUGUAUGGAGACGGAUUAUAUAAUUGAAUUGACUGUGGGAAGAUGGUUUCCACAAUCAUGUUUAGCAGAAUCAACAUAUGAUUCUUUAUAUAUACCUGGGUUAUCCAGGACCGUAGUAGGUCGACUCUUUUAUUUGAUGUCCAUUUGAAUAGUGUGUCUUUUAUUUUGUUUUUUGGUGUUCCGAUCUCCGUAGGGCUAGGGGAUCGUUAUCCAGGACUGUAGUUCGACUUCGUUCUGCGGUUCCACUGUGUUUGUGGUUCCUUCAGAACGAAGUCUCUCACUCAUGACCUCCUCUCCUAGCAAAGGAGAAUAAAGGUCCAAAGGAAGGAAAGUCGGGCUCACUUUGAGGGUUGGAGAAGGUCUCUGGUGCGAGAUUGUGCACUCGAAAUGAUGGUAUAGAAUCCAUUUGUAUGCAAAUCCGCAGCCAAGAUGUACCCGGGGCAUGUUACUGCCAAGGUGUCCAUUUUGUUUCCUAGUCGGGUUUCUGUUCGAAACAUGCAGUAGAUGCGUAUUGAUCACUCAAUUUUCAUUUUUCUGGACUUGCUUUUGUAGUGAAGAGUAAUGCCAGACCAGUAUGUGUUUUUUCUUGUGCACCAGAAACUCUCUAGGAGCGUCAAACCUCCAGUUGCCCCAUGAUCAGUGGUAGUUUCAGAUUAGUGUAGGUUAAAACAUAGUUAUAUGACAACCUUUGACAAGGAUUUCCUUCUCGGGACACCAGGAUCUGUUGGAAGAAACAUAAAAGGAUUUUCUAUCAAAUUGGACGAACAGGAGAUGUUCUUGGAGAACAUGUUGCCUAGCUUAAAAUGUCUCAUCAAAUGACAUGACCGUUGUCCGUGCUGAUUGCUGUAUCUUCUCUCAGUACUGCUCUAGUAGUUGUUUGUCUCUUCUUUUUCCAUUUUUCCUCCCCCCACACCCAGUGGCGAAGCCACCUUAUAGGAAGGGGUGUCAAAUGACUUCUCUUCGCGGGGAAAAUACAUUGUGUAGGUAGGUAAAAAAAAAAUUAUAUGUAUAUGUACUAUGUAUUGACUCCUCUUAAUUUCCUGGUACGUUUAUUUUUAUAUUUUAUA